rnacentral:tRNA from 1 species
GGCUCCAUAGUGUAGUGAUUAGCACAUCUGCUUUACACGUAGAAGGUCCUGGACUCACGCCCCAGGUGGAGCCA